UACGUAGGGUGCAAGCGUUGUCCGGAAUUAUUGGGCGUAAAGAGCUCGUAGGCGGUCUGUCGCGUCGGCUGUGAAAUCCCGAGGCUCAACCUCGGGUCUGCAGUCGAUACGGGCAAACUGGAGUGUUGCAGGGGAGACUGGAAUUCCUGGUGUAGCGGUGAAAUGCGCAGAUAUCGGGAGGAACACCAGUAGCGAAGGCGGUUCUCUGGGCCGGUACUGACGCUGAGGAGCGAAAGCGUGGGGAGCAAACAGG
rnacentral:rRNA from 1 species